UACGAAGGGGGCUAGCGUUGCUCGGAAUCACUGGGCGUAAAGGGUGCGUAGGCGGGCCUUUAAGUCAGGGGUGAAAUCCUGGAGCUCAACUCCAGAACUGCCUUUGAUACUGAGGAUCUUGAGUUCGGGAGAGGUGAGUGGAACUGCGAGUGUAGAGGUGAAAUUCGUAGAUAUUCGCAAGAACACCAGUGGCGAAGGCGGCUCACUGGACCACAACUGACGCUGAGGCGCGAAAGCUAGGGGAGCAAACAGG
rnacentral:rRNA from 1 species